AUGAGGAGCUCCAUCAUUUCCACUCACUUACAAAAAAUAUGUUCUUCUAUUUCCCUCUACCCCUCCAUCUUCCUCCUUGCCCUCCACCUCCCUGAUCUCUCCAUCUGCUCCAUCCCUCCCUCUCCCACCUUCAUCUUUCAUCCCUACAGCUCUCCUGGCUUUCCACCUGUCAUCCCUCCACCUUCCUCCUGUUCCUCUGUCUUCCAUUCCACUGUCUCCUUCCUACCUGUUCUCCAUCCUUUCACCUCCCAUCCCUCCAUCUUCCACCCCUCCUGUUCCUCCCAUCCCAUUUCUUAUCCCUCCAUUUCUGCCACCCCUCCAUUUCUCUCAUCCCUCCAUCUUCCUCCCAUCCCUCCAUCUCUUCAGUUUCUCUUUCCUCUUUUCCUCUUACUGUUCAAUUUCUCCCUCCCUUCCUCCUUCCAUCUUCCUCCCUUCUCUUUAUCUCUCAUCCUUCUUUCUGCGUCCUCCUCUCCAUCUCUCUUCCAUUUCUCCUAUCCUUCCACUCUUCCUAACCCUCCAUUUUUCUCUCCCUCCAUUUCUCCCAUCCCUUUAUCCCCCUAUUCCUCCCAUCCCUCCAUCUCCCACAUUUCCACCUCUCCCACCCAUUUGUCUACUGCUCCUCCAUCUCUCCUCCCAUCCUUCUAUUUCCCCUAUCCCCCUAUUCCUCCCAUCCCUUUACCUCCGAUCUCUACAUCUUCCACUACUCCAGCUUUCCUCCGUUUCUCCCAUCCCUCCAUCUUCCUCCCAUCCCUUUAUCCCCCAUCUCCUCCCCAUCCCUCCAUCUCCCACUCUUCCACCUCUUCCAUCUACCUUCCAUCCCCAGUUCUCCCCCUUCGCCUCUCUCUGCUCUCUCCUCCUCCUUCUCUUCCUCCUCCUCCUCCUCCUCCUCCUCCUCCUCCCCCCCUCCCCCUGGCUCGCCUCCUCCUCCCCCGCCCGGUACCGCAUUGCCGUAGUGCGGGGGGGCCGCUGCAUUGCGCUGCCGCCGUCAAUAGGUGGGCCCCUCCCGGGGAGAUAAAGCCGCCGGAGCCCAAGCUGGCAGCCUCUGCCGCCCCGACCGCCGCUCCGGUAAGAGCUCCAGCCCCCCCCCCCGGGAUCAGGCUGCUCGGAACGGGGGGGGGAACCUGGCUGAACGGGGGGGGGGGAUUGCUGGGGCGGGGGUACGAUGCAUGUGCAUGGGGUGCUGCUGGCAUCGAGAGUGGGGGAGACCCCUGGGAUGGAGGGAGGAGAUGGGGUUGGGCCGCUUCUUCAGCCCGCAGGUGGGAAACAGCCUGCAUCCUGAAAGCUUGA
rnacentral:lncRNA from 1 species